UUUAGCGAUGGUGAUGGAGCUCACCGAAACCGCCCAGGAUUUUUCUUAAUUGCACCUCGGCUAAUGGCUCCUACGCUUCC
rnacentral:ncRNA from 17 species